AUUGAACGCUGGCGGCAGGCUUAACACAUGCAAGUCGAGCGGGGUGAUGGUGCUUGCACUAUCACUUAGCGGCGGACGGGUGAGUAAUGCUUAGGAAUCUGCCUAUUAGUGGGGGACAACAUCUCGAAAGGGAUGCUAAUACCGCAUACGUCCUACGGGAGAAAGCAGGGGAUCACUAGUGACCUUGCGCUAAUAGAUGAGCCUAAGUCGGAUUAGCUAGUUGGUGGGGUAAAGGCCUACCAAGGCGACGAUCUGUAGCGGGUCUGAGAGGAUGAUCCGCCACACUGGGACUGAGCCACGGCCCAGACUCCUACGGGAGGCAGCAGUGGGGAAUAUUGGACAAUGGGGGGAACCCUGAUCCAGCCAUGCCGCGUGUGUGAAGAAGGCCUUAUGGUAGUAAAGCACUUUAAGCGAGGAGGAGGCUCUUUUGGUUAAUACCCAAGAUGAGUGGACGUUACUCGCAGAAUAAGCACCGGCUAACUCUGUGCCAGCCGCCGCAGUAA
rnacentral:rRNA from 1 species